rnacentral:rRNA from 1 species
AGCGAACGCUGGCGGCAGGCCUAAUACAUGCAAGUCGAACGAAGCCUUCGGGCUUAGUGGCGGACGGGUGAGUAACACGUGGGAACGUACCCUUUGGUUCGGAACAACUCAGGGAAACUUGAGCUAAUACCGAAUGUGCCCCCAUCCUUAACAAGAUGGGUGGGAAAGAUUUAUCGCCAUUGGAGCGGCCCGCGUCUGAUUAGCUAGUUGGUGAGGUAAAGGCCACCAAGGCUACGAUCAGUAGCUGGUCUGAGAGGAUGAUCAGCCACACU